rnacentral:snRNA from 1 species
AGAGGGCAGAAGGAAGACACCGUGAUCGUGAAGGUGAUUUCCCCAGCAGAAUGCUCAUCCAUUGCACUUGGGAUGCACUGACCCCUUAGAUUUCUCCAAAUUCAGGAGCUCCGCUGCAUGGUUUGUGGACUGC